UGGACAGGUGGUGCAUGGUUGUCGUCAGCUCGUGUCGUGAGAUGUUGGGUUAAGUCCCGCAACGAGCGCAACCCUCGACCUUAGUUGCCAGCAUUCAGUUGGGCACUCUAAGGUGACUGCCGGCUAAAAGUCGGAGGAAGGUGGGGAUGACGUCAAAUCAUCAUGCCCCUUAUGACCUGGGCUACACACGUGCUACAAUGGGCGGUACAAAGGGUCGCGAACCCGCGAGGGGGAGCCAAUCCCAAAAAGCCGCUCUCAGUUCGGAUUGCAGGCUGCAACUCGCCUGCAUGAAGCCGGAAUCGCUAGUAAUCGCGGAUCAGCAUGCCGCGGUGAAUACGUUCCCGGGCCUU
rnacentral:rRNA from 1 species